ACGAUUUAAGAUUUCGUGCUAGAGUUGUUGUUUGUGGUAUACUGGUAUUACACACGGAUUUAUAAAAAUUACCACAGAUUACAGAAUAUAGAAGAUAUUCUAUACAUCGUGGUACAGCUGAUUGCUCUAUGGCAUAACUAUAAUAACUACUGUAAAAGUGGAAAAGGCUCCGGCAAUUGCUCUUGUCCGGAGUGUCUGGUUUUGUUUCCAAUCCAGUAUUCAAUUAAUUCAAGAAAUUAUCUCUUAUAACUUUCACUGUUUUUAAUCUUUAUGUUUUAGUGCUAAAUUAUGUUUUUGGGAUGGAAAUAAAUGCACAAUCAUAUUGCCAAUUUCCGAGCACUUAGAUCAAUUGCACUUACGGUAUGCUUAGAUGAAUACAGUCUACAGACUAAACUUUAUUGCAAUGGUAUUAUUUUACUUCAUUAGCAAACAUUCAUGAAAUCAGACAAGAGUAUUAAAUUCAACAAAUAAAGAAGUGGACAACUUAUACAACUAAUGGCACAUACAGUAGAGGCGUUAAAUAGUUAAUUUUAAACAAUUUUCAGGAGGUAUUGAUGGAUACCUACUUAUCAAUAAUUGGUGAGCAGUUAUACCCUGAAACAUAAUAUGGUCAAAUACCCUACAUUGAUGUUUGUUAGUUAUUUUUCUUUAAUUGAGUAAGUCAAACAUAUGUAUCAGAAGCUUUAAAUUAUUUUAAAAUUAUAAUAUUAAUUUCAGUCAUCUGAAAUAUAGCUUAAUAUAGCUUCAGAUUUUUAUAAUGUAUUGAUGUUAUAUAUGAGUCAUUUAGAUAUAUGGUAUUUUUACCUCGGGAGCCUACACAUUGAGGGAAGUCGAAAAGACGUUCAAGUAUAUAAAUAAAAUUAUAAUAAUGUAAAAGACACAAAACACAAUAUAGACAAACAACAAAACACUAAAAAAAAAGGACGUGUCUCCAUUUGCUAACACCUCAUCAUCCUUGCAAGAGGACUAUUUUUUAGGAAACAUGUAUACGACGAAUGUCAAGAAUAUUAAUUUUACUAAGUAAAAAGGUACAUCAAGUUUCCUUUUUAAUGUACGUGAAAAAAUCUGGUUUGUCCUAUCCCUAAGAUCUACUAGCAUAUAGUGUACUCAGCAUCAAGCAUUCAAGAACAGGAGUACAUGCAGUAUAAUAUAGACAACAAAUUAAAAAAACUUAGGCUAUACAUGCUCAAGCUGUAAAAGGUUUCUAAGUUAUAAGAUCAUACUCAAGAAUAGAGUGAACAAGCGAUCGAUAUAGCACUUUAAAAUAAGUGUUACACUUAAAAGGUGUGCGUAUAGUGUAUACGUUCAAAAAAUCUAAGGAAUGUCAUAAUCUAAAGCACAGUCACCAGUUACAUUGAAAAUUGGUGAGUCAGAUGAAUAAACAGAACAUAAGCGAUAAAAAAACAAUUAUUGGAGUUUAUUUAAAUCAUUCAUUGCAUCAUUCAAAUGAAUAAUAUUAUGAUCAAGAAACGAAUCACUAGAUCUAAUUUUUCUCAUCAAGUCAAAAUACAAUUCUGUCUGCCUCACAAAUUCAUUGUAAUAUUAUAAUAUCAUAUAUUUACCAAAAACCAAAAAAAGAAGUCCUGACUAAAGAAGAACCAUUAAAAUUUAGAAUAGAAUUGCAAAAUGUAUACAUGACAUACAAGUGCAUUGAUAUGGUUACAGUUAAUCAAUUUCAGUUUUUUGUAACAGGCAACACACCUUGCUAGGGUGAAGUCAACCCUAAAAAUAUUUGACCAUAAUUCCAAAUAGCCAAAUAUUAAAGAACACCAACAUAUUCUUAACCAAUAGUAGGUUUAUUAAUUAAUUUAAAUGCUAUAUAUACAUUUACAAUAUUUUUAAAAUUUAAAUAGGUGCAUUUAAAAAAACCACAAUAUUAAAUUCUAGUUAUUAUCACAUUGUAUUAUGCUUGAAAUAUUUAUUUGUAUUAUAUUUUUUUCAACAUGAAUAAUAUUUGGUUUUUUUAUUUAGCAUUUGGUGUUUUUUGACUUUUUAAAUCGAGAAGAACUGAUUGCUAUUUAAGUAAAUCAACAAGAAAAUUACAAAAAAAAAAUAAAUAUUUUUAUAGGUUCCUACUUGACUAAGAGAAUUAAAAAAUAUUUUUACUAUU